UUUUUUUUUUCAGUCUUUCACUGAGCCUGGGACUUUUUUUGUGCUGGGAGAGGGAGGAAAUAAUUUCAGUAAUAACUUGUUUUGUUUUGUUUUUCCCUCCAAAAUAUAUUUCAAGGCUUUUCUCAGCUAGUUGAGUUAAUGCACAAUAAAAAGAAACACAAAACUGAAAUGGAAGACUUGACUUAACUUUUUCUUCAUUGAAAGAUUAUUAACCACAGCACUGAGGGAUGAUCUCAGAGAAACAGGUCUAGUAAUGUAAGUCAAAGACAGGAGAGAAAUAACAAUAAGCUGCUUCUAUUUAUUGUAUUAAUUCCCAUUCCCAUGAGAAAGUUACGGUUGAAACUAGAAUAGAUUCAUUUUUCUCUGCAGAAUUAUUUCUAAGACAACUUUGAAUAGAAUUAUUUUACCACAAAUAUUUAGAAAUACUUUUUAAUUGUAAUGUUUAUUUAAUGAUGUUAAUUUAUUCUUUUUCCACAAAUGUCCUUUCCACAUUGAUAGAUAAAUUAUAUUUUUAGGGCUGAUUCAGUCUCUCUUUCAUCACUUUCAGUAUGGUAUAACUACACUUUCAGGGAAUUGCACCAGGUCUACACCAGUUUGAACAUAGAGCUGAUCAGCAGGAUACAGUUUUGAUUGUUUAUUUGGGAAAACACUUUUAAAGAGAAAUAAAAAUUUCAAAGUCCUAUUAGAAAACUAAAAUUUACAAAGAAUGCCAGUCUGUUUUCCUCCCCCUAUGGAGGAAAUCAGUUACAAUUCUACAGCUCCACAUAUGCAUCACAUACAGUGUUGAAUGCUUGACUACUAGGCUUUACACAUUGCUGAUGUUCCAGUCAUGAAGCGCUGUACAUCAGAUUUGAUCUGUCCUAUCCAGGAAAGUAUUUCUUUUUCAUUUGCGUAUUAGGUAUACCAUAGACAAGAAUGGAUUUUGAAAGGAGCAUCGUACCUAGGCAUAAAUCACUUCAUACAGUAGAUGAGGAAUUAAAUACAUUCAUCAUUAAUCUUCUUUUUCAUGCAGUUUAAAAGAACACUUUGGUCAGGUUGCCUGUAAAUUAGGUGAGUUUAUUUUCUAGAAGUUAAAAUUUUCAUCUUAAUUUUGCCCCCAACAUAUUCUUCUGAAAGAAUAUAAAGUAUUUGUGAACAUUUUCAACUAUUUUUCUUUUGUAGAAAAUUUUCUUUCUGUUUGUUUCAGGGUUAAAAGCUUCUACUGAGACAGUAUGGCUGAAUAGUUUUGUGAUUUUAAUGGAAAAAUUCUUAAGAUUAUUUAGGAAAUAACAUUGCAUAUCAAAAUCUCUCAAGACACCAAAUUUCUACUAAAUUUCUUUCUGUUUUUUUUACCUUGGUGUAACUUAGCAGAAUAUCAUGAGAUUUAAUAAACAUGACCCCGCACUUGAUUCAGACUCAUAGGAUUUUUUCAAGUUUUAUUAAUGUUGAGUGAUGUAAAGGUUGUAUUACAAAGUUCAGGUUCUUUUGCUGUACCAGUGUGUGAGAUUCCUUCCUCUUAACUGAAAAAUAUUCUACAUUACAGAAAAGCUUGCAUUGUUUUCUGCAAGCAAUUUCACUAUUUAUGUUUAACUGAAAUUGUUUGAUAUUUAAUGGAGUUAAAAAAAACGAAAAUUCUAACAGAUAUUGGUGACUUUUAUUAAAUAAAGCUUGCAUUAGAGUUAUUCAGGAGAGACUACCAUUGAAAAUAUUCCUGGAGAAGUGGAAACCUAAACCUGCACAUGGAUGAGGGUGAUCCAUUCAUCGGCUUAUGGACAAGUUUAUGAUUACUCAGUGGAGUCACAAAUCCAUAAAUCUACUCAGUGCCCCUGCACAUGAUGUGCUCUCAAUGGAGAAGAGGUUGGGCAGCAGUUGCUGGGGAAGAUGAAUGGUGCUUCAAGAGGACUGUCUGAGCAGUUGGUGGCAACUUCUCAUGCUCCUCUCCUGGACAGGAUUCUCACUUUGGUACAGAGCACUUCAACGUGUGAUCUCCUUGACUCUCUCUGGGAUGAACUACUCUGGCACGCUGGCUGAUUACUUAAGAAAAAUUGAAGAAGAAAGUAAGAAAUAGUUAAAAGACAUCCAAUUUCUAAUGGUCUGUCUCUCUCUCUCUGGGAGCAGCCUUUGUGUCGGGAGUGAUACAAAAAUGAAGUAUCACUACCAAGCUAUCAAAAAGAAAUCAAACUCUCAAUAUGUAGAUAAUAAUACUACCAACUACAAAGGUGCUAAAAUAUAUCAUGGCCAAGACAGUAUGUUAUAAACCAAAUAUUUUUUCUGAACAAAGAAUCUUUGAAAAGACAACCUUUAGUCCGAAGUCUUGGUAAAUUUACACCAAUGAACUUAAUAAAAUUGGACCUGAUGCUACUCUUAAAUCUCAUAAAAUUGCCCACAUUUUGACAUUUCCUGUAUUGGUUCAUGUUUCCCCAUGGAAAUAUGCCAAAGCAAAAAAUAGAAAAAUCUUGAAAUCUUUUUCAUGCUUUUGAUAAGAUACUUUCUUCAAAUAUUGUUGAACUUGCAAUAACUCUUCAAGUCAUGUAGAACAGAGUACUUUUAACUUCUCUUUUUUCCUCCAUCCUCCAAGCAGUUGCUAAAAUAAAAAGAAAGCAAUGGGGGUAUCACCUACAUGGUAGAUAACUCAAUUUGUUGUUUUGCUGCAAGGUAAUCUAUACAUGCUAGGGAAUACAGUGAGGUCUCUGUACCUCUUAGAACAGAAUUGCUUCAAGGAGAAGUUUUUAGUCGUAAAUUUAAAGUUUAAUUUCCUUUCUGACAGAAUAUUAAGUUUUUAAAAUAAAGUUAACUGUUAAUUUGAUAUGAAUUGCAGCUUUUGUUUCUUGCUACAAUAGCUCUUCUCUAUUGUGUAAAAUAUACAAAAACUACAAUUUCUCUUUCUAUUCAGAACAGCUUUUCAUUUAAGUUCAUGUGAAUAGACUAGCCUUAGCAAUUCUUAAAAUCUUAUAAAUUCUUUUUUUUUUCCCACUUGUCACAUUUCAAAUGAAUUGAAAAAGUAUUUAGUUUAAAGGUGUUAUGCGCGACCAUGCACACCACAAAGCAACUUAUUUUCUGAUGUUUUUGGUCAGAUAGCAUUUUAAGAUGAUUGAGAUUAAGUCCAGUUCUCUGUUGAACUGAAAAAGAAUUGGCAUUCUGUCAGAUAUAAAAGUGUUUUUUAACAGAGGAAAGAUUUAUCUUUAGCUUGUUAAAAAUCUCUCAGGAGUAAAUCUUUAUCAAUUACAGGCAAUGUAUUUCUAUUCGGUUUUGCUUCCUCUCCUUCUCCUCAGUUUGUCUGCUGUCCUUUAUUUUUCCAAAUGGUUACUGUUCUUUAGAUUUUUAUAAAAGAAAGGGGGGAAGGUGAUUAGACCAUGUCUGUGUUGAGAACUAGGUUCAAUGCUCUUUAUUGUUAAGAAUGUAACCAAAUGCUUAACUAAAAUAUUUGAUCCUCUGUGCUUCAGUCAAAAGCUCCUUUUUAAAUCAUAGAUAAAGCAAGGUCGGAGGAAAGGCAUUCCCUUGCCUUAUGAACUGAGGAAGUAAUCUGGGUGCGUGUUUCGGAGGUAUUUAACUCCCCGCAUAGGAAUAAAGCUAAACCUGGAGCUAGUAUCAGGUUUAAUAUCUUCCACCGAAAGGUGGACCUUCUGAAACCCAAUGCAAAGCAAAACUCACAAACAGGGAUUUUUUUGUUAAACAUUCAUUAUUAGUUCUCCUCACCUGCAGCAAUAUCAGCCUCCUGCAAGUCUGUGGUCAGGCAGCCCACCAGGCAGAGGAAGUCCUAUGGGUCUUCAUGUUUAAUUCUUAAGAAAAAGUCAUCACCAUCCUGUCUCUGGAGGCUACAAAAGGUAUCUUCUGCUGGUUUAUCCACAUCUUUGUGUGUAUAGAAAUGCUUUAAACCAAGUAAAUUUAGUUUGAAAUGUUGUUUCCCCACCUCUUUUGUGCCUAAACAUAUCUUUGAGGGAUUUCUGAAUGAAUAAUGAUGAGGGUUUCAGACUGGUAGUUUUGGUUGGGUCUUUUUGGUUUAGUUUUUUUUGCGCGUUUUGUUUGCUUGCUUGUUUUUGUUUUGUGUCUUGUUUUGGUUUGUAUCCUAAGGUGGGAGUUGCCUCAAACAAGGACACACUUUUAGAACUGGCUCAUCUUUCCCCUCAAAGUGAUCAAGUUUUUCUUAAAAAUCUACAACAGAAUCUGAAAAUCCUUCUGUAGUCUCUGGUAAACUGGGGAGAGGAGAAAAUACAUCAACGAUGCUAGUGGAUACCUUUAAAACCAGGAACCAAGUCCCUCUGAACCUCCAGAGAUCAGAUAUUUUUUAAACAUUAUUUUAGAAUUAAAAAAAAAAGGUAAUUUAAUUUAUUUUCUGCCAAAAUUUCAAGUCAUUAGAUUGUAUCCAGGUCACAUUAUCCAGCUUUUUCCUGCAGCCAUAAAGACCAGAAAUUAUCAUUUUUUUUAAAUAAAACUAGGGAUGUUUUUUCUGGUUGUUUGCAAAUUUCUUCUUUUCAUAUAAUCACUUGGUUUCCAAGAAUAUACUUCUCUCAAUAGUCCCCAAAAUAUUGUUUGGCUCCAGUCUAAUCAUGGUUAUUAGGCACAUCACAGACUAAACUCUUUGAAAAAUCUAUGCAGAUAUGAUCAAUACGGGUAGAUUACACAUCGUAGCUUUCGGCUAAACCACAGAUCAAGCACUGCAUAGAGAUCACCUUGUGUUCCCUGGCUGCGUACAGACCAGGGGAUAACUCCUACUCCCAUGGGAUAAUUGCACUUACAGUAGUGUCAGGUUAAAGGAGGCUUUUGUUACAAGUUGACCACACUGAAUAAAACAAUAAGGCCCAUUUAGCUCCAGAUGCAGUCCAGAAGUUCUGGGGAAUGCAUGUUAUGCCACCCCCAGCACGCCUGCAUCUCUCCUCUCACUUCAGGAAGCAGCUUUUCCAUUUCCAUUGAACUCACACAGCAGAGGAAAAUGACUACACAGAGAAGGAAAGAAAUAUCCGAAAUACAAUCCAGCAAACUGAGGGGUAUUUUGGCCAGACAACAGGGAGAAAAGUGAAGUAUUAAACAGAGCAAAUGCAAAAUAAGUAUGGAUUUUCUUGGAAGGAAAUUAUCUCUUUUGCCCCAACAAAUAUAUAAAAUAUAUUUUUAAUUCUUCUGUCUCAUACCACCUAAAGGGAGUGGUACAUCCCCACAAAAUGCAAGGGAUCUUUUCUGGAAAAACACAUUUUUUUCAUGGAAGGUGUUUUGUUAGUCUUCUGAUGACCAAAUACACAAAAUAGCAGAGACUGCAAAAUAAUUUGCUAUCUUAAUUUGACGUCAUACAUACACCACCUGCAUAAAGAAAGGAGUCCAAAGGCAAAUAAAAUUUAAUUGCACACCAGAUCUCACCCAUGCCAGUAUGAUACAAGCAUAUCACCAUAGUAGACUCAGCAGCUCUAUUUCUGUGGUAGAAAAAUCUGAAGUUUUCCAGGAAAACAAAAUCUAGAUUGCCUAUAGCAAGCACGUGCCCAAGUUUUAAAAGCUGCUGCUAGCACAAUGAAAGAACCACUUGGUUUUUCCAGACAAUUCCUUCUGCCAGUUAAUCAUUACUAUUGGACAGUGAGCAUCAGAGCUCAGAUUUCCACUGAAAAGGAAGAUUCAAUUUUGGAAGGACUUUUUAAAGAAACAUGUAAUUUUAUAAAUGCACAAAGAACUAAAAUUAUACAGUUUUCUGCCAACACUUUAAACGUUGAAGAAAUAAGACUGAAAAGAGAGACACACUCUCUUUGAAACUUCUUAAUUCCAUUUUUUGCUUUUGGUUGUUCUUUUUUGCUUGUUUCUCCUGACUCCUUUAUCAUGGCGGUGGGUAAUAUAAAGGGUGAAAGAGCUGGGAGGCUUCUUUUCAUUUUUUCCAGAGUGCGUUUGAUGUGAUUUUCUUGCACUGUAAGUGAUAAUUUUCCUUUCUCAGCAGCUAAAAACUCUAGACAGUGGAAGCAAGACCCGCCACUUGUUGUUGCUGGAAAGGAUUUUCUCUGUCUACAUUUCUGGUCACUCCACAGUUCCUGCACAUUUUGGUCCCAGAUCGAGAACUGUUACAUUACAUGUCAUUAUAUGUCAUUAUAUGGGAACUAAGAAAUGUAAUUAAAUAUAAAUAAGAAAAUAUUUUUCCAUCCAGAAUUUGCAAUUGAGUUGUAUAUUCUGUAACAAGAAAAGCAUAGACAGUGUACAUGUGGGAAAAAUAAGAACAGAUCAAGACAAAUACAGAGAAGUUACAUUAUUUUCCUUCUUUCCUUCCUUCUCUUUCCUCUACAGCACUCUCAGUGUCUGGAAACUAUUUGGGUCAGAACAUUACAGGUAGAUAAACUAUGAUCUCCACUUCAUAAUAUUUCAAUACUCAGAGAUAAAGUCACACUCAGAGAUCACAUUAUACUAACCAUCCUUCAACAUUUUUUUUUGCAGCUUGUUAAAUAUUGGCUUAGCCAAUUGGCUCCAGGCUUUCUGCCAGGAGAGACCAAAUGAAGCCCUGUAGGAUGAUCUAGCUUAGAUUAGGCUAGAUAUAAACCACCCUCCUGCAUCUCAGUGUCUUUAACUUGGACAAUUGGGCUCAUGAAGUUUAGUUUACACUGCAGUUUGUUAAAGACUCCCUAUGCAAGCAAUGGAAAAAGAGAUGUGUAUUUUGAUGAGUUAGCACAUAGGGUGUACUAACCAGUGUAUAAUCCACAUUUCUGUCUUCCAUUGCCACCCAUGAACAAGAACAGAAGAAUGGAUCAACGUUAUAUAUUAAACAGAUAUAAUGAAGUUCAGGUAAUAAUAGAAUUCAGGAAAUACCACAAACUUCAGCUACAUCAAGAAGACUUGGGGAAAAAAAACAAAAAAUUCCUUAUAAUUAGUCUUUAUAAUGUAAAAUGACAUGCUGAUGUUAUGUUGAAUGCAUUUUCUAUGCCAAAAUUGUCACACCACCACAAUAAUGGAAUGGAAUGCUGACUUUGUUGCUUAAUUAUGGCCUUCUUCGUGUCAACAGUAUUAAUUACACAUUGCAGUGUCUGUUUGCUUCCUCCCAGAUGAGACCCACAGCUACAUGACAUUCAGUUGAGAAUAUCAUCAUUGUUUUGAGCCAAAGUGAGAGUUACUUAAUGAUGUGACAGCAUAGAUGUGUUGCCAAAAGCUUUUCGUACUAUAAAUAACAAGUAUGAAGACAUCUUGUACAAAAAUGCUAUCUGUAUUGAGUAAAUACAAAUAAAUAAGGACUUUGCUGAGGGAUGA